GUGCUUGCUUCAGCAGCACAUAUACUAAAAUUGGAAAGAUACACAGAUUAGCAUGGCCUCUGAACAAGGAUGAUAUGCAAAUUUGUGAAGCAUUCCAUAUUAAA
ensembl:snRNA U6 U6 spliceosomal RNA